CUGCUCCGCCAUUGUUG
rnacentral:sRNA from 1 species